GGUAAGGGGUGGAAAGGGCCUCUUUCGGAAUAAGAAUACAAAAUUACAAAUUCAAAAUUGCACCCAGGACCUUGGAAGGAGUCCCGUGGAAGGGAGGGCCUGGACAAAUCUGUCUCAGACGCCACCAGUUAGCUGAGAGAUCAUUGGAGCAAAGCCUUUGGCCCAUGAGAUGAUGGUACAGGGAGCGGUGUGGCUUGAGUAAAAUGCUAUAAUUUUGAAGGAAGGAGGAAAUCUUGGCCUGUUCAUCUGUCACUGAAGCAGAGAUAAUGACAGAGCUUGGAACACUAGAGAAACCCCCUCAAGGCCUUCUUUAGCUACGGAGUUCAAUCCUGAAUGUCAUGUGCGACCUUAGGCAAAUCACGUGCUCUCCAGGCGCCAGUGUCCUACCCAGUGAAAUGUGGCUGGGGGUUGUUACAGUCUCUGCCUUUUCCAAAAGAACCCUCACGGCUCUCUCCCUGGAGCUCCACAAAAGCUAAGAAGCUUCUGGAGGUGGAGCAGACCUCCUCAUCACCCGGAGCCCUCUCUCGGAAACAGUCAUGCCCGUGACAAAGAGUGCUGGGGGCCCUCAGGGAGCCGUUGACCUCAAACUGGACCUCAGGUACCCACCCAAAAGUGCCAAGAGGCUGCACAGCAAGGACUCCAGUUUCUGGGAUGGACACCCUUCCGAGUCGCCAGGCUUAGAGAAAACCACAGGCAUAACAGCAUUCCAGACCUUAGUUCACCUGGUAAAAGGCAACAUGGGCACAGGGAUCCUGGGACUUCCCCUGGCUGUGAAGAAUGCGGGCAUCCUGAUGGGCCCGCUCAGUUUGCUGGCAAUGGGCUUCAUCGCCUGCCACUGUAUGCGCAUCCUGGUCAAGUGUGCCCGGCGCUUCUGCCACAGGCUUAACAAGCCCUUCAUGGACUAUGGCGACACAGUACUGCACGGACUGGAAGCCAGCCCCAGCGCCUGGCUCCGGAGCCAUGCCCACUGGGGAAGGCAUAUCGUGAGCUUCUUCCUUAUAGUCACCCAGCUGGGCUUCUGCUGUGUGUACGUUGUGUUUCUGGCUGAUAAUUUAAAACAGGUAGUGGAAGCAGUUAAUGGCACCACCAACAACUGCCAUUACAAUGAGACAGUGAUUCUGACGCCCACCAUGGACUCUCGACUCUACAUGCUUGCCUUCCUGCCCUUCCUGGUGCUGCUGGUCCUCAUCCGGAACCUCAGGGUCUUGACCGUCUUCUCCAUGUUGGCCAACAUCAGCAUGCUGGUCAGCUUGAUCAUCAUCACCCAGUAUAUUGCCCAGGAAAUUCCAGACCCCAGCCGGUUGCCACUGGUAGCAAGUUGGAAGACCUAUCCUCUGUUCUUUGGAACAGCCAUUUUUUCAUUUGAAAGCAUUGGCGUGGUUCUUCCCCUGGAAAACAAGAUGAAGGAUGCCCGCCGCUUCCCAGCCAUCCUGUCUUUGGGAAUGUCCAUCAUCACUGCCCUGUACAUUGGCAUCGGGGCCCUGGGCUACCUGCGGUUUGGAAACGACAUCAAGGCCAGCAUAACCCUUAACCUACCCAACUGCUGGCUGUACCAGUCGGUCAAGCUCUUGUACAUCGUGGGUAUCCUGUGCACUUACGCCCUGCAGUUCUACGUCCCUGCAGAAAUCAUCAUCCCCUUUGCCACCUCGCAGGUGUCAAAGCGCUGGGCACUGCCUCUGGACCUGUCCAUCCGCCUCGCCAUGGUCUGCCUGACAUGCACCUUGGCCAUCCUCGUCCCCCGCCUGGACCUGGUCCUCUCCCUGGUGGGGUCCGUGAGCAGCAGCGCCCUGGCCCUCAUCAUCCCGCCCCUCCUGGAGAUCACCACCUACUACUCGGAAGGCAUGAGCCCCCUCACCAUCGCCAAGGAUGCCCUGAUCAGCAUCCUGGGCUUUGCAGGCUUUGUGGCAGGAACCUACCAGGCCCUGGACGAGCUGAUCCUCUCGGGAGGCCCUCUCACCUUUUCCAACUCUACCGUUUUUAUUCAGUGAACAUGGCACUGUCCCGUACCCACCAGCGCCUGACUUAUACUGAUGUGGAUAUCUUUUAUAUGCACUAUCUGUAUUUUACCACUUUAUCCUUUUUCUGGGCCAAGUCAUGGUGAAACAAGCAAAGACUCACUGGCUACAGGGUCUAGAUGGUAAUUUAAAAAUUUGGUUCUGUUAUUCCUUUUCUUUCCAUCUCUAGCUUUCCAUUAAGUCGAGAGCUCUCCCAUGGAAGGCUCUUGAUUCCAUCCAACUUUUGGGCAAUUCACGUCACCUUGAGUGGUGCUAGGCACGAAGAAGCCACCAGGGGGAAACCAAGUGACAGCAACUGGCAGAAGGACGUGCAGCUGACUAAGGCUGACCCUGAUCUGGUAGACCAAGGGUUUCCCCUUUUCCAGAUCUGUUCAAUGAGCAAAGACUAGGGGACAGAACCUAUAAUCCAACAAGGUAUGCAUGGCUCCUGUGUCAAAAUGGGUAGGGCAAAGAGGUCCAACGUUGAUGUGCCAAUGUGCCAAUGGCAUGGAGAAGUUGAUGUGCCAAUGGCAUGGGGUAGGGGAAUGGAUAAUGCCAUUACAGUAUUUGGCAUUAUUUACCUCUUAACUCUUGCAACAAGCAUUCUCCCUACGGUGUGUCAAGCAUAGUUCAAGGUUCUUAUAGUAGGUUGCAAAAAUUGCCACAGAUUCCUCUGGACAAUGUGACUUUGCAGCUCCUCCCAUCAAGAGGUGAAAUCCAUGUCUCUACUCCUUGAAUCUGGUCUUGCCCUUGUGACUUAUUUGGGCCCGUUGAACAUCAGUAAAUGUGACACAAGCAGAGAUUUGGUGAUGGCUUGUGCAUCAGGACUUUCAUUUCUCCCUACGCUAUGGGGUGAAGAUCCACCAGUGGAAGAAGCCUGAGCUAGCCUACUGGAGGAUGAGAAGCCAUGUUGCACAGAAACGAAUCAUCCCAGUUGAGCCCAUCCCUCAGAUCAACCAGCCUGCCAACCUCUGACACAUGAGGGAAGCCUCCUAGACUACAUCCAGCUCCAGUCAAGCUGACCCAAGUCGUGGUGCCAUCAAACUGGAUUUUGAGUAAAACUUGGGUCUCCUGACACUGAACCUUUCCCUCCUUCCACUCCGACCUGCCUCUUUGACAGUCCUGGGCCUUUUCUCAUGUCUGCGCUCAGCUGACAGCAAGAGCCAGCCAACCUGAAACACCAGCUCAACCUUCCAGGCGCAGUCCACACACCCUUCCUGUACAGGAAUUCUGAGCAGGUAGCACUCAGGCCCGGGAAGAGCCACUCUUCACUCCCGCCCUGGGUUGGGCCACACCUGCAUCCUGGGACUGCGUCCUUAUUGGCUGGGCAGCCUCC